CGGGGGAGGUAAGCUAACGAGAAAGUAGGGAAAAGGAAGGUUUUAGAGUUCACCUCCACUCCUUCCCCUGGCUAACACUCUUUACACUCUUCUGCCUUCCCUUGAGAUAAUUAAAAUAGACUGUACACCGGCCCUAGUCGGUGCCCAUUCCCCCUAACUCUUCACUCAACUACGUGUGUAGUCCGAGGGAGUGAGGACCCCGGGUCCAAGAGCUCAAUCCCGGCCCCGCCCCGUCGGCCCAGGCCCCGGGGCUGGGAGGAGAGGAUGCCUUCGGAGGCGCAGAAUCCGAAAGUAAGUUCCUUUUAUUUUGCCUUACCAACUGCCACCUCCCACUCCACCUUCCUUUUAUCACCCUCUCUGGGCGGCGAAAUAGCCUCUUUCAAGGAAAACCUUUCAGGGUGGAGCAGAGUGGGGUUGGUAAGAAGGGGAGGGGAAGGGAGGU
rnacentral:lncRNA from 1 species